UACGUAGGGGGCUAGCGUUGUCCGGAAUCAUUGGGCGUAAAGCGCGUGUAGGCGGCCCGGUAAGUCCGCUGUGAAAGUCGGGGGCUCAACCCUCGGAUGCCGGUGGAUACUGUCGGGCUCGAGUACGGAAGAGGCGAGUGGAAUUCCUGGUGUAGCGGUGAAAUGCGCAGAUAUCAGGAGGAACACCGAUUGCGAAGGCAGCUCGCUGGGACGUGACUGACGCUGAGACACGAAAGCGUGGGGAGCAAACAGG
rnacentral:rRNA from 1 species